rnacentral:piRNA from 1 species
UGGUGAAGAUUCCAGUUCUGCAAUGG